rnacentral:rRNA from 1 species
AAGUUUCAACAACGGAUCUCUUGGCUCUCGCAUCGAUGAAGGACGCAGCGAAAUGCGAUAAGUAAUGUGAAUUGCAGAAUUCAGUGAAUCAUCGAAUCUUUGAACGCACCUUGCGCUCCUUGGUAUUCCUGGAGCAUGCCUGUUUGAGUAUCA